rnacentral:lncRNA from 1 species
GACUAUCGACAUUAACUCGAGUUAAUAUGAGUUCAACAAGACAUCAAAUCAAUCAAACAAAUUUAUCAUGUCAUUUUCAAUUUCUAGUAGAAGAAAUAGUCAUGAAAGUUCACAUACUUUCUUUCAUAAAAUUUCAUUACUUUAGGAUUUUCCCAUAUGUAACGUAUGCAAAGAAAUAGUCAUGGAAAUUCACACAUUUUCAACAAAUGCAUUCGUCGAAUAUUUAUGCAUCCAAUUCAUCACGACCAAAAUAAAGAAGUAGCAACUCACAUUCCAAAUAUAACCAUGUGGCUAACGCCAUAUGUGCCUUCUUAUAAGAAUAAUAUUCUCAAAUAUUUUCCAAACAAAUUGAACACAAAAUUAGAUAAUAAAGCAGCCACUAAAUCUCGUUAGUGACCAGAAUCAUCUAAUUGAAAUAUAUAUAUAUAUAUAUAUGCAAAUUUUGGAAUUUGUAAAUGACAAGCACAUGCAGUUGUAUCAUAUAUGAAAUGAUGACAUCCAUUAAUUUGCUGACUUUUCCCAGAAUUCAAUGGACAUGAAUACCAAAAAGGGCAUGCAUAAAUCAGCCAUCUUCAUUUUAU